rnacentral:sRNA from 1 species
AUGGCAACCAUAGAAGAAAUUGCACAUCAGAUUAUUGAACAACAGAUGGGAGAGAUUGUUACAGAGCAGCAAACUGGGCAGAAAAUCCAGAUUGUGACAGCACUUGAUCGUACUACCCAAGGCAAGCAGUUCAUUCUGACGAAUCACGACGGCUCUACUCCAAGCAAAGUCAUUCUGGCCAGGCAAGAUUCCACUCCGGGAAAAGUUUUCCUUACAACUCCAGAUGCAGCAGGUGUCAACCAGUUAUUUUUUACCACUCCUGAUCUGUCUGCACAACACAUGCAGCUCCUAACAGAUAAUUCUUCUCCAGACCAAGGACCAAAUAAGGUUUUUGAUCUUUGCGUAGUAUGUGGAGACAAAGCAUCAGGACGUCAUUAUGGAGCAGUAACUUGUGAAGGCUGCAAAGGAUUUUUUAAAAGAAGCAUCCGAAAAAAUUUAGUAUAUGCAUGUCGAGGAUCAAAGGAUUGUAUUAUUAAUAAGCACCACCGAAACCGCUGUCAAUACUGCAGGUUACAGAGAUGUAUUGCGUUUGGAAUGAAGCAAGACUCUGUCCAAUGUGAAAGAAAACCCAUUGAAGUAUCACGAGAAAAAUCUUCCAACUGUGCUGCUUCAACAGAAAAAAUCUAUAUCCGAAAGGACCUUCGUAGCCCAUUAACUGCAACUCCAACUUUUGUAGCAGAUAGUGAAAGUACAAGGUCAACAGGACUGUUAGAUUCAGGAAUGUUCGUGAAUAUUCAUCCAUCUGGAGUAAAAACUGAGUCAACUGUGCUGAUGACAUCAGAUAAGGCUGAAUCAUGUCAGGGAGAUUUAAGUACAUUGGCCAGUGUGGUUACAUCAUUAGCGAAUCUUGGAAAAACUAAAGAUCUUUCUCAAAAUAGUAAUGAAAUGUCUAUGAUUGAAAGCUUAAGCAAUGAUGAUACCUCUUUGUGUGAAUUUCAAGAAAUGCAGACCAACGGUGAUGUUUCAAGGGCAUUUGACACUCUUGCAAAAGCACUGAAUCCUGGAGAGAGCACAGCCUGCCAGAGCUCAGUAGCGGGCAUGGAAGGAAGUGUACACCUAAUCACUGGAGAUUCAAGCAUAAAUUACACCGAAAAAGAGGGGCCACUUCUCAGCGAUUCACAUGUAGCUUUCAGGCUCACCAUGCCUUCUCCUAUGCCUGAGUACCUGAAUGUGCACUACAUUGGGGAGUCUGCCUCCAGACUGCUGUUCUUAUCAAUGCACUGGGCACUUUCGAUUCCUUCUUUCCAGGCUCUAGGAAAGAAGAAAAUUAUUGAUGGAGCACAUCUUCAAACUACAGGAGUUUUGUAA